rnacentral:rRNA from 1 species
GUGUGAUUCGUCACACUAUCAUUAACUGAAUCCAUAGGUUAAUGAGGCGAACCGGGGGAACUGAAACAUCUAAGUACCCCGAGGAAAAGAAAUCAACCGAGAUUCCCCCAGUAGCGGCGAGCGAACGGGGAGGAGCCCAGAGCCUGAAUCAGCAUGUGUGUUAGUGGAAGCGUCUGGAAAGGCGCGCGAUACAGGGUGACAGCCCCGUACACAAAAGCGCAUGUGCUGUGAGCUCGAUGAGUAGGGCGGGACACGUGGUAUCCUGUCUGAAUAUGGGGGGACCAUCCUCCAAGGCUAAAUACUCCUGACUGACCGAUAGUGAACCAGUACCGUGAGGGAAAGGCGAAAAGAACCCCGGCGAGGGGAGUGAAAAAGAACCUGAAACCGUGUACGUACAAGCAGUGGGAGCACCCUUCGGGGUGUGACUGCGUACCUUUUGUAUAAUG